GCUACAUGUGGGAUGCACUUGCGGAUAAGCAGUUCAUGUGACAUUGUCGGCAUCUUCCUAGGAAAGUGGUAGGACUAAAUGUGGAGAGUUGCAGAAUUUGGGAUCUGACCUUGUUUCAGGGCUGUGGACCUCCCAUAGAUUAAGCAAAUUCUCCAGAGGGAAGCAGACUGGUGGGUCUUUUUUGUUUUGUCUUGUGAUGUCAUCUCACAUAGCCUAAGGCUGGCCAUGUACUCCCUGGGAAGCUGUGGGUAACGGCAUCCAUCUCCUGGGUGCUGGGGUUACAGGUCUGCACUACUAAAUCUACUUUAUUUGCUGGUGAAGAUCAAACCUGAGGCCUCAGACACAUUACCAGUUACGCUCCAUCCUAGCCCCAAGAAUCCUUUUGAUUUUGUAAAGGGAGAUACAUGGGAGCCUAUCUUGGCUCAGGUGGGGAUACAGAGUCAUGGUCUGCUAAUUACAAAGUCAAUUGGCCAGUGUUUCUCUCUCUCUCUCUCUUUCUCUCUCUCUCUCUCUCUCUCUCUCUCUCUCUCUCUCUCUCUCUCUCUCUCUCUCAUACACACACACACACACACACACACACACCGAGAUGUGCACAGAGAUACACACACCCUGUUCCUAUAUUACCCCAUAAUUAAAGGAAAAGAAAUUAUUUCAAUAUGCCUAUUUUGAUAACAGAUAUAAGGGUCACAAAUAAUUAUGAUGAUUUUUUUUUCAAGAUAGAGGGCCCAGGAUGUGAUACAUAUCCUUAAAGCCCUUUUCAUGCCUGCUUUGUUACUCUAAUCCAGGAUAGUGUUGUUAGUCCAGAAAGAACAUUCUAAAGUUAGGUUGAUCACCCAGUGCUCCAAGAAUCCUGCUUUUCUUUGCUCUUCUUAGCCAUGUAGCAGAAUGGUGCUUGUCUGCUCUGUCGUCUCAUGACUGUCACAAUCAUCUGAGUGACACGCUGCUUGGAGCCUUCUCAGCAGACCUAGUCAGUGCCAGACACAUUUUUUAGGAAAUACAUAUAUGGCUCACAAUUCAUUCAAGAAAAAUUUUCUUGGAAGUGGUGUUAGAGAAAGAUAUAGAGGACCAUGUAGUGUACAUGAUAGAACCUCUCUUCUCCCUGGCAAGAGUGACCAUAAUACUACCAUCCCAGGGUUGUGCCAAAUGAGCUGACAUAAUCAAAGAGCCUAGAACUAUUUGUAGCACACUCACCAGCAUCUUUUAUUGACAAGAAUGAAGAGCCUUGGCUUCACCAUGCCUUCUGGGCAUUCAAGAAACCAGCCUUCUGGUAGGGAAUUGCCAAGUGCAGUGUGUAGAGCUUGGUGCUGAAGGUUCCUGAGCAGGUGGGAGCCUACAAGUCCUUUCUGCUAUCCAGUUCUAGCCAAAAUACAACCACAGUGAGAUUCUUUUUCUCUUUGUGGUCAACUGCUCAGUGAAGCCACUUCCGCUUCCGUUCUUUACAGGAUGAGCCAGAAGAGGAAAACAGAAAGAAGGCCUGUUAAACACAAGCACAGCUCUGUAGGUUGGAAAUAGAGAUUCCAGAGCACUUCAUUAACAUGGUUGAAGUUUGGGAGUGGUGAAACAAGGAAGAAAAGUCAUCUUGUUGGGCUUCCUCAUAGGAAAGGGAGCUUUGAGGCUGAUCCCUGAUCUCAACUCAGCUGCAUGUUUUGGAAUAAGCCAUUUUGGAAGCAUCUGUAGCUUCCUCCAAUAAGCGAAAGCUUAGUGAGAUGCUACAUCAAAAGGUCUUAGCAGCACUUCAAGCCCCAUGGAAAUGUUUUGUGAGCCUCACCCCUUGCUACUUGAUGGGUAACCAAUGAGCCUAUUGCUCCUCCUAAUCAAAAUCCAGAACAAUUUGGGUUAACUUCUGAUUGUUCCUUUAACUAUUUGGUGUAAUUUGAAGUCUAGGCUGAGGUUUCUCGUAGUUAUCCAUUAUAUUCAAAUUGUUCCAUCUUGAUCCCAUAUCUGCUCUAAAAUGAAGAUUUGUGGAACAACCAUCCACCUUCAAGGUCACAACAAGCAGGCACUAUUUUGUAGCAGUUAGAAGCACAUUUCACUUUCC
rnacentral:lncRNA from 1 species